rnacentral:rRNA from 1 species
CGCGGCCUAUCAGCUUGUUGGUGGUGUAACGGACCACCAAGGCAACGACGGGUAGCGGGCCUGAGAGGGUGGCCCGUCACACUGGGACUGAGACACUGCCCAGACUCCUACGGGAGGCUGCAGUCGAGAAUCUUCCGCAAUGGACGCAAGUCUGACGGAGCGACGCCGCGUGUAGGACGAAGGCCCUUGGGUUGUAAACUACUGUCACGAGUCAUGAAUGGGUAGGCGUUAAUAGCGCCUGCAUUGACGUAAGCUCGAGAGGAAGCACCGGCUAACUCUGUGCCAGCAGCCGCGGUAACACAGAGGGUGCAAACGUUGUUCGGAAUCACUGGGCAUAAAGCGCACGUAGGCGGCUUGGUAAGUGUGAAGUGAAAGCCCACGGCUCACCCGUGGAAUUGCCUUGCAUACUGCCUGGCUCGAGGACGGUAGGGGAGAGCAGAACUCCUGGAGGAGCGGUGAAAUGCGUAGAUAUCAGGAGGAAUACCAGUGGCGAAGGCGGCUCUCUGGUCCGUUUCUGACGCUGAGGUGCGAAAGCUAGGGUAGCGAACGGGAUUAGAUACCCCGGUAGUCCUAGCCGUAAACGAUGGGCACUAACUAGAGGUCUCCUGUUUGAUCUCUGGUGAAGCAAAUGUGUUAAGUGCCCCGCCUGGGGAGUACGG